GCUCCAUAUCAAAUACAAUAUAGGCUGGAAGUCAGAUAGUGUAAAGAGAAAUACCUCAUUUGUGGAGUGCCUUCGUCCUUCAUCAUACCGUCUUUGUUUCUUGAGGCAGAAUCCUAUCUGGAAUUUUAUUUAAUUGACGUCAAGAUAGGGAAUAUUAGCAAUAAAGGGCCAAUACUUUCCUUUCUUUUUUGUGCAACGUUUCUGCAGAAGAGGGCACCCUGUGAUACACAAUAAUCCAAGUGUGGCAAGAAGGCCCUCUUUUGGCAAGGAUCGGAGUUUAGGGCAAUCCCAUAUCCAUAAUCUUUCAAGUGAGGUGAGGUUGUGAAGACCCCUGGAUAUGGAUUUCAGAUUCUCAAGACGUUGGACUGAAAGACUGGUGAGGGAAGAGGGAAGCAGUUUUCCUUCUUUAUCUGGAAAGGAAACCAUAUCUGUACUAGGACUUGUACCUAUGAUUGUUAAAUCUAUAAGUGAGGAGAGUCUUUCAAGUCUCCACUCUGACACUGGCUGAGUCAGAUUCUUGCAUUCACAAAUUACAAGAUUGAUUAGGUUUGGGGGCAAACCCUCUUUUGGAAACGACACCAA
rnacentral:misc_RNA from 1 species